UGGGGAAUAUUGCACAAUGGGCGCAAGCCUGAUGCAGCCAUGCCGCGUGUGUGAAGAAGGCCUUCGGGUUGUAAAGCACUUUCAGCGAGGAGGAAGGUGGUGGACUUAAUACGUUCAUCAAUUGACGUUACUCGCAGAAGAAGCACCGGCUAACUCCGUGCCAGCAGCCGCGGUAAUACGGAGGGUGCAAGCGUUAAUCGGAAUUACUGGGCGUAAAGCGCACGCAGGCGGUUUGUUAAGUCAGAUGUGAAAUCCCCGGGCUCAACCUGGGAACUGCAUUUGAAACUGGCAAGCUAGAGUCUCGUAGAGGGGGGUAGAAUUCCAGGUGUAGCGGUGAAAUGCGUAGAGAUCUGGAGGAAUACCGGUGGCGAAGGCGGCCCCCCUGGACGAAGACUGACGCUCAGGUGCGAAAGCGUGGGGCAGCAAACAGGAUUAGAUACCCUGGUAGUCCACGCUGUAAACGAUGUCGAUUUGGAGGUUGUGCCCUUGAGGCGUGGCUUCCGGAGCUAACG
rnacentral:rRNA from 1 species